UAGCACACACAUAAAAAUGGCGUCAUAAGGGUAGCAGUAAUUUCUUUUAAUCAACAUAAAUCAACACAUAAACAUUCAACGGAGAUCAAAAAUAGAUGUGAACUAGACUCCUUGCUUUCUUUUUAUUCUUUUUGAAUACACAAACUACUUGUACAGGCGUUACAAAAUGGAACCGACAUUAACAGGGAAUCGGUUAGUGUACAACAGACGGAGUUCAAGCAUCUUCAAGAGGAAGAUGUACCCCAUGUGUGGCGUCAUUGAUUUCCUCCACGUCUGUAAAGGGCGGAGUUUUCUGGAGCCUCUGUUCGACAAAGUGACCAGGACACCAACAUGCCAAAGAAUUAAUGGUCUGGGCAAGAGAGGUCUCACUGGUCGAGUCGGCUGCUUUGUCAACUUUAAGCUCAUCGCCUGCGUCACCGGAAGCGCGGCUCCUGGAUCGAGGAGAUCUACGAUGGAGUGUGAUGUGGCCCCGUGCGUGUACACGACAGACUUUCUUGACCGGAAGUCACUCGUUUAACCAGCGCGUCUCAGCUGAAGGGUUAAAGGUUACUACGCCACACACUCACGCCCCCACGUGAGGUCAUAGCUCUCUGACAACUGGCUCAACAGAAGAGAAAUUUGACAAUCGUUAUUAGCAUAUUUAGAUAUCUUUGCCCUUGUUUGAUGAAGAGUUGUGUUUCUUUUUCUUCUCAACAUAAAUUCCAUUUAGGACAGCAAUGCCUUAUUUACGUGUCGCUGCGACUGUCAUGGAUUUACCAAGAUAAAGAGUCGGCGGCGUUUUUUGAACCUUCAACAGACCUACUUAGAUUAUCUGCUAGUUUGAUACGCUGUACUCCCUGGGAUCAUCGGCUCUCUCUCUCCCUCUUGUUGUCUCCCUUUUCAAUAUCUUGUCUCUCUCUCUCCGCUCAACAUAACAAAUGAUUGCACUCGCUUUCAAAGCUAUUUCUGCCCUCCGGACGCAUCACUACUCACUCUUAUCACACGCACACAUACGCUCAAGGGCUUUCACUGUUGUUGUAUUUCUACUGUUUGCAGUCUCUCUCUUUUUUACACUCCCUCCCUCUCUCUUACUGAACCCCCCUCUUUCUCCUCCUCUCUCUUUUGCUCCCCCUCCUUAUCUUUUUUACUCCGCUUCCUCUCUUUCUCCCCAUCCCUCUUUUUCUCCCUGUCUCUCUCUUUCACUUCCCCUUCCUCUUUCUCCUCCUCCCUCUCUCUUUUACUCCCUCUUUCAUUCCGUUCCACUGCCUCUCUCUCUCUCUCUUUCAUAUUUGACUCCUUCAUUUAGUUACUUCAACAAGUCGCAAGAAUAAAAGCCAUGUAACACAG